AACCUUGCUGCUCAUGGCCAGCUGGCCCCAGUUGGUAAAUUUGGGGGAAAGUCCCUAGCAGCGGCCGGGAUUACUUGUCCUAAGGAUGUUCCCUUCAAAAUUCCCCGAAGCGGCACUGGCUGCCCCAGUGCUGGGCGGUUGGAGCAAGGAAUUGGCGUCUGGGAACCAAUGGGCUCAGUGCAGUAAGUUUCAGGACGAAACUGCAAAGAGGGAAAAAAAAAAGUACCAUUUAGAACCAACUAGACCCAAGAUGGCAGAAGAUCUGGUUUCCAGUGGACCUUGCGCCUCAUGGUACACUCACUGUACUCCAUUCGCAUGCUAAAUGAUGCACCCACCAGCAGCAUGACAGCUGGUGACUGCCAUGACAAAAAC